CCUACGGGAGGCAGCAGUGGGGAAUAUUGCACAAUGGGCGAAAGCCUGAUGCAGCGACGCCGCGUGAGGGAUGACAGGCCUUCGGGUUGUAAACCUCUUUCAGCAGGGACGAAGCGCAAGUGACGGUACCUGCAGAAGAAGCACCGGCUAACUACGUGCCAGCAGCCGCGGUAAU
rnacentral:rRNA from 1 species